GAUGAACGCUGGCGGCGUGCCUAAUACAUGCAAGUCGAGCGAACAGAUAAGGAGCUUGCUCCUUUGACGUUAGCGGCGGACGGGUGAGUAACACGUGGGUAACCUACCUAUAAGACUGGAAUAACUCCGGGAAACCGGGGCUAAUGCCGGAUAACAUUUAGAACCGCAUGGUUCUAAAGUGAAAGAUGGUUUUACUCUCACUUAUAGAUGGACCCGCGCCGUAUUAGCUAGUUGGUAAGGUAACGGCUUACCAAGGCAACGAUACGUAGCCGACCUGAGAGGGGGGGCGGCACCAGGGGAAAGGAAACGCGGGCAAGACUCCUACGGGAGGCAGCAGUAGGGAAUCUUCCGCAAUGGGAGAAAGCAUGACGGAGCAACGCCGCGUGAGUGAUGAAGGUCUUAGGAUAGUAAAACUCUGUUAUUAGGGAAGAAAAAAUGUGUAAGUAAGUGUGCAAGUCUUGACGGUACCAAAUCAGAAAGCCACGGCUAAAUACG
rnacentral:rRNA from 1 species